UGUACGUGCCCGAGCGGAGGAGAGGGAGAGCGGGUAAUUCAGCGGCGGCGGCGGCGGGUGUGGCCGGCGAAGGCCGCUGGAGGUCGCAGCGCGUCGUACGGGGGCUCGAGGGGUGCCAGGCGCGGAGGGAAGGGAGGCCGAUCUAAGAGGCGAGGGCCUGAGAUGGCGUGCGAGCGUUGGGGUGGGGCACCGAUCCCAAAGCCCGUCCCGAAGCGGCCGCGCAGAGGCCGCUGGGGUCUACGUAUACCUCGUGCGGCACUCUAAAGGGGUAGGUGGUGCCAGCGGCGGCAGUUCCCGAAGAAGUGCCUAGACCCUGCGGUACCUGUACGUCGAGGAGUUCCUGAAAGAUAACUUUGUAGAACAGGUAGUACACAUCUUGUGCUACGUGGCAAUUCAGUUCCAAGUCCUGCUGCAUAUAGCAUCGGGGUACGACCGAAAAAAGGUUACGUCCUGGAAGAUGUAGAGACGUAUAGUUAGGUAAAACCUGG
rnacentral:rRNA from 1 species